CCUACGGGAGGCAGCAGUGAGGAAUAUUGGUCAAUGGACGAGAGUCUGAACCAGCCAAGUAGCGUGAAGGAUGACUGCCCUAUGGGUUGUAAACUUCUUUUAUAUGGGAAUAAAAUGUUCCACGUGUGGGAUUUUGUAUGUACCAUAUGAAUAAGGAUCGGCUAACUCCGUGCCAGCAGCCGCGGUAAUACGGAGGAUCCGAGCGUUAUCCGGAUUUAUUGGGUUUAAAGGGAGCGUAGGUGGAUUGUUAAGUCAGUUGUGAAAGUUUGCGGCGCAACCGUAAAAUUGCAGUUGAAACUGGCAGUCUUGAGUACAGUAGAGGUGGGCGGAAUGCGUGGUGUAGCGGUGAAAUGCUUAGAUAUCACGAAGAACUCCGAUUGCGAAGGCAGUUCACUGGACUGCAACUGACACUGAGGCUCGAAAGUGUGGGUAUCAAACAGGAUUAGAUACCCUAGUAGUC
rnacentral:rRNA from 1 species